UUGUCGCCCCAAAUCCCUGACGCAGGUCAUUUGAUAUCAAGGUGUACGUGUAGAAUUUCUUGGGAUAAGUGACCCGAACUGUCAUUUCAUACAUAUCAUGUUUAUUUAGAAAAGCACAGGGAAACGGGAACAGUUUGCAAUGCGAGUUGUUUCCCCUCUCUACACCGUUGUCCGGAGUUGCGUGUUGAACGCUGUGACGAAAUCACAACUAGAACGUGUACGGUUUGUGUCUACCAAAAUGCCUAGCGUCUCACCCCCACCGCAGAGCUUGAUGAAGCCCAUGGAUUUUCCUCACAAGCUGUUGAUGGGUCCAGGCCCUUCCAACUGUCCACCACGUGUACUAAACGCCCAAUCCUUUCCAUUAUUAGGGCACCUGCACCCCGAAUUUACUCAGAUAAUGGAUGAAGUGAAAGCUGGCAUUCAGUAUGCAUUCCAGACCAAAAAUACAUGGACUGUUUGUGUUUCAGGAACAGGCCAUGCUGCUAUGGAGGCGGCCUGUGCUAACCUUCUGGAGACAGGGGAGACAGCCCUGAUCUGUGAGAAUGGACUCUGGGGUCAAAGGUUUGCAGACAUGUGUACAAGAAAUGGAGCUGCUGUUCAGAAAAUUAUCAAGCCAAUGGGACAAGUAUUCACACUUCAGGAUGUAGAGGCAGGUCUGCAGCAACACAAGCCGGCGUUGGUGUUUGUGACUCACGGUGAAUCUUCAGGGUCAACACUCCAGCCCUUGGAGGGACUGGGGCAGCUCUGUCAUAAAUAUAACAGUCUUCUAUUGGUGGACUCGGUGGCUGCCUGCGGAGGGGUACCACUUUUUGUUGAUGAAUGGGAGAUAGAUGCUAUCUACACCGGUGCUCAGAAAGUGAUAAGUGCCCCACCUGGAGUCAGUCCUGUGUCCUUCUCUGACCGGGCCAAGAGUAAAGUAUUAAACAGGAAGACACCGGUCAGGUCCUACUACUUUGACAUGUCCCACCUGGCCAACUACUGGGGGUGUGACGAGGGACCGAGGAGGUAUCAUCACACAGGUCCUAUAUCCAGUGUCUACGCCAUCCGAGAGGGACUCGCCAGACUAGCAGAGGAGGGGUUGGAGAAGAGUUGGGAAACACACAGAAGAUGUGCUGAAAUGUUGUGGGAGGGUGUGGAGAAACUUGGAUUAGAGUUACUGGUCCAAGACAAGGCCAACAGACUUCCAUGUGUGACAGGUAUAAAAGUCCCAGAAGGAGUCAACUGGAAAGACGUGUCAGACUACGCUAUGAAAACGUACAAAGUUGAGAUAUCUGGAGGUCUUGGGGCGCAGGCAGGGAAGAUUUGGCGAGUUGGAAUUAUGGGAUACAAUGCUACGCCAGACAACGUACAGAAAGUUCUCCGUGCUUUGGACGAAGGAAUAAAGAGUGUUCGAGGUAAACCUCAGUCCAGGUUAUAGGCAACUAACGGGUAAUUAGCUCUGACUGGUCAUGUGAUACAGUAAGGAGGACCAAUAGAAAACUGUCUUAGAUCUAAUCCUUGAUUAUUGACAGCCAUUUGUAAUUAAUGUCUUCAAAGAUUUUUUUUUUGUAUGCAAAUUUACUAGGUAUUUUUAUAUAACUACAGUUGUCAAAAAGACAAAUUGUAAGUGUAGAAAGAACUCCAGAAGGAGAUGGAAAUAUUUUUAAAUGUACUUGUAUCUAGAUUUUUUUUUUUUACAUAUAUAUAUAUAUUGACAAUCUAUGUACUCGAAUGUUUUCCUUUGAUUGAAGGAUGCCAAAAAUUUGAUAUCAUUUACAUGUUACUGAAAACAUAUCAGAUUUUGUUAUCAUUGUGUAAUUUGUUGCCUAGUGCUAUAUGUGUAUGAAACAUUAUAUUUAUAAUUUUAUAUCCAAGUACAUGUAGAUGCAAAUUCUUUGUUUUUAAGCUGCAUUAAAUGUUUAUUUUUGUGAUUAUACAAUGUUUAUUAAUAUAAAAAACAAAUCCUCUAGUUAUCAGAGUGAUAACUGAUUUGGAGGUCAAAGGUUAUCAUACCAGUGACCUCUGCCCUGUUGAGGUUAUCCAAUGGUUGACUGCCAGAUCUGUAGAUCAGAACUUUUGACCAAUUUUUUCUGUAACAUUUUUGUGAAUUCUCUGAUUAUAUGAUUGCUAAUCAUUCCAAAGAUACAUGUGUAAAUGUU